GAGCGUCAUUAUCACCUCUCAAGCCUGGCUUGUCGUUGGAUCUCUGUCGUCAAAGACGGGUCCGAAAGAUAAUGACGGCGUCGCGAUCGACCCUCGGUGCAACGAGCUUUUUAGCACGCAUCAGAGAUUGACGACCCGGUCUUUAACCACAAUUUUCUAUGGUUGACCUCGGAUCAGGUAGGGAUACCCGCUGAACUUAA
rnacentral:misc_RNA from 1 species